rnacentral:rRNA from 1 species
AUUGAACGCUGGCGGCAGGCUUAACACAUGCAAGUCGAGCGGAGAUGAGGUGCUUGCACCUUAUCUUAGCGGCGGACGGGUGAGUAAUGCUUAGGAAUCUGCCUAUUAGUGGGGGACAACAUUCCGAAAGGAAUGCUAAUACCGCAUACGUCCUACGGGAGAAAGCAGGGGAUCUUCGGACCUUGCGCUAAUAGAUGAGCCUAAGUCGGAUUAGCUAGUUGGUGGGGUAAAGGCCUACCAAGGCGACGAUCUGUAGCGGGUCUGAGAGGAUGAUCCGCCACCCUGGCACUGAGACACGGCCCAGACUCCUACGGGAGGAAGCAGUGGGGAAUAUUGGACAAUGGGGGAAACCCUGAUCCAGCCAUGCCGCGUGUGUGAAGAAGGCCUUAUGGUUGUAAAGCACUUUAAGCGAGGAGGAGGCUACUGAGACUAAUACUCUUGGAUAGUGGACGUUACUCGCAGAAUAAGCACCGGCUAACUCUGUGCCAGCCGCCGCAGUAAUAC